rnacentral:tRNA from 1 species
UCCCUGAUGGUCCAGCGGUUAAGAAUUUGCCUGCUGAUGCAAAGGACACGGGUUCAAAUCCUGCUCUGGGAA